GAGAGAAUGGGAUCAAGGAGGGCUUCCGAGAUUGUGUCUCUGUUGCACUUGCAGCCACACCCAGAAGGUGGCUACUUUGCCGAGACGUUCAGAGAUUCUUCUAUUCGCCUCCAGACCUCCAGCCUUCCACCAGAAUAGCGGGUGUGGGCGUCGACGGCAGGGUGCGCUUUCCGGUGACCUUCUCCGGCGACCAUCUUCUCCGGCGACAAUCUUUCCGGCGAACAGCCAAGUGAGUUCCUUUCUUUUUCGUCCUCUCUCUUGUCAUCGCUACUCCUUAUUCCCUCUUAUCACCCAAUAAGGAGACAGUGAGGGAAUAGGGGUUGGGCGUGCCGUGUGAAGGAGGACCUGAUCACGCCUAUGUGGAAGGCGUGAUCAGGUCCUCAUAUUGGUCGUAUGAAGCAGACUAUUGUGGAUGUAGCGUGACGUGUGACGCUGUGGUUUGUGAUGAUCGUAAAUACAAUUUCGGGAAAGUCAGGCUGCGUGAGGUGUUGUGGAUGCUUUGUGGAGUCUAUAUGCUGCUUAUAAAUUCAGUUUUUUGAAUAUGAUCAGAAUUUUUCUAUAGAUCGUGGAUACAAAUUCAGUAAAGUAAGGCUGCGUGAGGACUGCUGCUGAUCCUUAGUACAAGUUUUUGUUUGAUUUUGUGGAUUUCUUUGACACGUGGACAGGAAGUUUUAUGAGAACUAGCUGCUGUUAUAAGUGGCAGCAGUCUUCAGUCGUUGGGAGUUCAUUCUUGUUUUUUUUUGUCAUCGGCUGAACCAGAUCUGAAGUGACAGUAAUUUCCUAGCCCUCUUUCUUUAAACAGUUGCGUCAAUCUGGUCUUCUUUAUUUACUAUGGCUGAAAACAGUAAAUCUGAAGGGUCUACUGACUACAAGAUGGUUGGGAAUUCAUUCUCUUAUGGAACCACGAUAAAACUUAAUGGCUCAAAUUAUGAAAUAUGGUCUAGGGUAUUCAUAAUGUCGGUGGCUGGUCAUAGGAAGAAAUAUAUUCUUGAGGAGGAUGAACCUAUUGAGAAAAAAGGAAUAUAUGCUGCGUGGGAUGAAGAUAAUUAUAUUGUUAUGUCUUGGAUUAUGAAUAGUGUGGAGUCUCAUAUAGCCCCAACUAUUGCAUAUUAUACCAAGGCCAAGGAUAUGUGGUCUUUCUUGAGAAAGAUAUACUCGCAUGCCACUAAUGUAAUCAAAAUCCUACAACUAGAAGAGGAGUUAUGUAACAUUCGACAAGGGGAUCAGGACCUAUCCCAAUAUUUUGCUACUUUGACUGCUGCAUAUGAACGGUUAAAGGCUCUUCGUCCACCUUGCCAGCAUUGUUAUGCAUCACACGUUGAGACUGGUAUGGUGGCGAAGUUUUUAUCUGGCCUAUCUUCAGAAUACUCUGUGGCAAAGUCUCAAAUUCUAACAGGCAGUGAACUUCCAGAUUUAGCAGACAUGUAUAAUAGGCUGAGUCGUUUUGCAGCCACUCUUUCUCAGACUACGCAUGACACACCAGUCUCUGCACUUGUGAUAUCAGGAGGACGGGGCCCUAGUUCUUUUGGAGGCACUAGGGGACGUGGUACAGGCCGUGGUGCUGGACGUGGCAGAUUUCAGUGCUCUUAUUGUGGCAAAAUUGGUCAUCUAGAGGAUCGUUGUUGGGACAAACAUCCUCACCUCAGGUCUAAUGUUUCAUCUGGACGUGGUGGAGGUAGAAUCACCACAAGCAGAGGUCCUUCUUCAUCCCAAGCAACUCAUUCAAAGGCAACAAUAUCUAUGGUUGAGUCUUCUACUGAUCCUUCUAUAUCUAUGUCAUAUUCUCUUAACCUAAGUAAGGAUGAAUAUGAUUGUGUUCUUGCUCAGAGGUCUGCCUCUACAUCUACCUCUACAUCUACCAAUGCCGCUGUUGUAGAUUCAACAUUCUCUGUUGGUGCUCCUACUGCUGAUCCAGGACUUACCAACUGGGAAGAUGAUUGGUGGCGGCCAUGAGCGUGAGGGCCUUUAUUUUUUGUCAAUCCCAGUUGAUGUUGUUGCAUCUUCAGUCCCUUCCAAGCCUUCUCCCUUCCAAUGGCAUCUCAGACUGGGUCAUCCUUCAGUACCAAAACUUCGUCGCAUGUUUCCAGAUAUUCCUGCAUCAGAGUCCUUCUUAUGUGAUGCCUGCCAGUUGGGCAAGCAUACACGGAGCAGAUUUGACCUGCUGUUUUAGAGGUGUUCUUGAUGUGGAUGGUGAUAUGCUGAUUAUAUGUCACGUGAAUGGUGCAGUCGUGAGUGAUCAGAAUCUACUAGUCUGGAUGAUGUUUAAAGCAUUGUAGCAGAGUUGAUCUGCCAUACAUGGGUGGUAUUAAGACGUGAUCAGACUAUCACGUAGUUCAUGUGGAGCAGAAUGGUUGACUGCUAGUCAUAUGUGCAGUUGUGUGCAGGGUUACUAACUCUAGUGUUGCAGCAGUCAUCGACUAUUCAUAGUCUUGUGCAGGAUUACUAAGACUGGUGUUGCAGCUGCCAUCUACUAUUCAGGUGGAGCAGAAUUGUGGACUACUGGGUGUGUGUGCAGUCACAUGUGGGUCAAAUGCAAUUGGGGCUGCAACAUUCAUCGACUGAAACCUUAGGAAGCUACUUAUUAUAUUUUUUUUAAGAUUUCUAUGAUCCGUAGAGAUACAUUUCUUGAUUGAAAUUGACUGCUCCACCUUAUGCAUACAUAUUGUGCGUAAAAUUGGAAUUUUACUAUGAGUGAUGGUAAUGUGUCCAAGGGUUCCAAUGACUUCAAGAUGCCUGGAAAUUCCUUCUCAUAUGCCAACACUACUGUAAUAGACUCUGCCUUCUCUGUUGGUGCUCCUACCGAUGACCCAGAUAUGAUGUGGAUGAUAGAUUCUGGUGCCUCCAGGCACUGUUGUAAUCAACCACAAAUUUUUUCAUCAUUAAUCAGAUUCUCUACACCACAACAUGUUAGACUGGCUGAUGGUAAGCUAUCCCUUGCAUUGGGCAGCGGUGAUAUCUAUCUCCCACAUUUAGGCACUAUUACACACCGAGAUAUGUGGGUUAUCCUAGAACAGAUGUACAGUCAGAAGAAAAAGGAUGUCUAUGUGUAUCAGCUGAUGAAAGAUGUAUGUGCUCUACGGCAAGGAGAGCUUUCUGUUGUUGAUUUUUAUGCGUCAUUAAAGUCUACAUGGGAGAAACUUGACUGCUACUUUGAUGAUACUUGGAUUUGUCCCCAAGACCAGACGUUGUAUUCGGCAAAAGAUUGGAAGAGCAUGUGUUUGUAUUCUUGGAUGGGUUGAAUGAUGAUUGUGAAGGCAUUAGAAGUCAAAUUCUUAAUUUGGAAGAUAUGGUUAGCAUUGAAGAUGUCUGCUCUUGCAUUGAGGCUGAAGAGCAGCGACGUCUUGUUAUGACAAUGAAAGAGGGGACUCGUUUCCCAUGCAGUGAGCAGCCUGCCCUUGUUAGCGGUCCCAUGGGGUCUCCUCGACCCUCUUGAAAGUGUACUCACUAGAAGAAAUCUGGUCACACCAUUGAUUUUUGUUGGGAUCUUUAUCCUGAAAAGAAAAAUAAUAGUGGGAAGAAGUCUAUCUCUGAUGUUGUAGAUCCAACUGGGGGCAAAUCAACAAUUUUUGCCGAUUGAAUUCGUGAGCUUCAUGCACAUCUGAGCCGCAUUUAUAUUAGUCAUGCUGAGUCAUCAAAUGAUGUGAAGGUCAAUCGUGCCCUUACGAUUUUUGGCGAAAAAAGUAAUUCUUGUGUGGGAGAGUGGAUUGUUGAUAGUGGUGUUGCGCACCACAUGAUCCUAAGGUUUUUCAUGAAUGUAAGCUCUCUUCUGGGAAGGAAUGGGUCUCUCUUGCCAAUGAUUCAUCUAUCUCCGUAGCCGGAAAAGGGAGUCUCUCACUGUUAAACAAGUUCUUGGUUCAUAAUGGCCUGCAUGCUCCUCAUCUUCCCUUGAACCUCUUGUCUAUUAGCAAGAUUAUGAAAGAAUUGAAAUGCGAACUCAUUUUUUAUGCUAAUCGUUGUGUACUACAAGGCUUGGUGAUGGGAAAGAGGAUUGAGAUUGGUUUGGCUUCUGAGGGUCUUUAUCAAUUACCUAUGUUUGUUGCUAUAACUCUCUUGACGGCGGUUAACAAGGCAAAGAAGAGUCGAGAGGAUUUCCUUCAGCUUGCUUUUCAGUGGCAUGAGAGAGUUGGACAUCUUCCAUUCGGGUUGCUCAAAGCAUUCUUCACACUUGGUGGUGUAAACACACUUUACUCUCUUACCUGGAAACUUUGUCAUUGGCAACGCUGACCUUGCAAUACAUCCUGGAUGAAUAUCCUGCAGUAGGCUACAAGAGACCCAAAAACUCUUUACUUCUGUCAAGGUGGACCGACCAAUAAGCACCUGUAUAUAUUUUCUGCUACCAUCUGGGAGUGUAUCACAUCUUCAUCGUAUUCCUUGUGCUGAAACAUGGCAUUUCUACAUGGGAGAACCACUCACUUUUAGAAGGGAGAAUUUUGAUUGAGCCGCUCAUUUUGGGCUACACUCCAGAAUGGGACUUCCGUUUCUAAAGUUCUUGAUGCAGACCCAACCUGCCCUGAGAACCAUCAAAUGUAGGCCUAUGCUUUGCUGUUCUUACCAAAUUUAGUGGGUCAAACUGGGAGCUUGCGUACAUUGGGUUGGAUCAGCGCCCAACGUAGUAAAAGAUUAGGAUGUCAGCAAAAUUCAACCAAGUUUUGCUGUUGGCUCAGAUUAUUCGGUCUUUUCAUGUCGUUCUCCAAUGCUGUAAUAUGAUCAUUAAAAACUAUAUAUUACCAUAUACAAAUAAAGAUCCGGUUAUGGAGUUCA